CUCAUUCAGUACGUUGUGUGCGAGGCGAAGACGACCGGCCGAAGUGGGUUGAGCCGGGGGCGAGGGACUAAGCAUGGAGCACACAGCAGCGCCAAGUCCUGAGGCCCGCUGGAAGAGUCACAGAGGGUAGCUGAAAGAACGUUCGCGGGCUCCGGUAGGACAGUCCCGUCCCGUUGCUGUGUAGGCAGGUGAGGAGCAGAGAGGAGAGGCAAGGAAAUGGGGCCCUGGAGGCAGGAGGUGAGGGGAGCAGCGUGCAAGACGUGGGAGAGUAGGGUCGAGGAGAGGCGGUCCAGCCGGCCGGAAGCGGGAGAGGGGCAGGCCGUGGCGCCUGACCGCUGGGGACAGGAGAGGCUUGCACAGAGGACCAGGGACGUGCCGGGCCACGAGGGCCGGCGGAGGGCCCGAAGGAAGGGCUGGACGUGGAGAAUCAAGGAAGUGUGUUCCCGUGAGUGGACCAGGGCCCCGAGGAAGCGCACCCGGGAGCAGAGCACAGCGUGGGCGAGGAAUCAAGGAACGCAGGAGAGGCGGGAGGGAGGAGAACGGAGGAGGAUGAGGCGGUGGUGGUAGUGGCCUGGAAGGUGCUGGAGACAGCCCUGUCAGUGUGGGGCACGGGGAGACGGGAAAGGUCAGAGAGACGCCCAGAGGAGGAGUGACCGUCUCAAAAACGGUGGCAGCUAAAACGGUAGGGGCCUUGGGAGCGAACCGGGAGAGCAGAUGGAUUCGGCACAGCACGUUGGCGAUGAGGAGGGCAAGGCGGGGAGCAUGAGGGCAGGGCAUCCAGGGCACAAGUUGCUGGGAGAAGACGGUGGCUGCCUCACGGGCCCGACAGCUACGAGGGCGAGUAGGACGGUGGCUGAAGAGGACGCGAGGGUCUCUCAGAGACGACAGUGGGAGAAAAAGAGGAGGAUGGGCCAAGAAGGGUUGAAAUCCGCACAGCAGGGACGUGCGCAGAGGGCGAUAGUGGAGUCUCGGGCAGCCGUGAGCAGGUGGUCUGCGGGCUGUGGGUGGGGGGUCAGGAUAGCCGAUGGGAAGAGACAGGGGCAGGCGGGACUGAAGAGGGGAGGGAACCUCGUGAACGUGCGGGGGACUCCGGGUGGGAAAAGGGGAAGCCAGCCUGAAGAGCGUGCGGUGUUGGGACAUGGGCCGAUGUCUGGGCAAGGGGCUUGGCAGGGGAGGAAUGGAGGCCACGUGGCAGGAGCAGGGCGGGAGCGCGGAGGCAGGACUCACGGCCCGGGGGGUGUGAAGAGCCGGACCCCUGGGGAACAGGUGCGGAAAGGGGAUACAGUGGCUGUAGUGACACAGAGGAAACGGGGCAGGCUGGCAGUUACGAGGCACCCCGCUCAGGAAGCACGUCAGGGCCUUCGGGAUGGACUCACGAGCAUGGAGUCCAGCGUGUGGAUGGCAGGCACGCUUAGAAAUGGCAGAGGAGCAGGUAGGAAGCAAGGCGGAGGUGAGAGUUCGCAAAGAUCGCCAAAUGCCUGCUUCUGCUAUUUCAGGGGACCCGGAGAGGAAUGGAGGUAGUCUAGCACGGGGCGGGAGGAGCCCGCAGAGGCAAGCACGGAUAGACGGGGACCUUCAAACCAGCGUGGGGUCACAGGUCGUGUCGCAGAAGAUGACGUUGUCAGCCAAGGGGCGCGGAGGGAGAGAGCGAGAGCGAGGGGUGGGACAGUGGGGGCUGGGAGGUGGGGGCUCUUGCCCUGCGGGCUGGAGCCAAGGGACAACAGAGAGAGGGCAAGGCAGAAAGGGCUGGAGACCGAGAGGAGCGUCUCAAAGUCUGCAUGUGGGUGUUGUGAGGGGACCGUGCCCAAGAGGGCAAGAGGGCAGAGCGGGGUGGAUCCCGACCUGGCCCACUGGGAGCAGGAGAGCAAGGGCGAUGGGCAGGGGCGCAGCAUGGGUCCCGAAGAAGGAGAGAAGGAAGGCGUGGGGGCAAAGGAAGGAAGCGGAGGAGGACUGAGCGGCGGGACCGCGUAGAGGCCAGUAGACAGUGGCUUGAUGAAAGGGAAGAAGACGGAAGAGGCAGGAAGGUGAGACGGGCCAAGGCUAGGGAAGAGGGAGCCUCCAGGGAAGGCGGUGGCGGGGAGCCAGCGGAAGGACGAGACGAGAGACAGCAGAUGGCUUCUGGAGAGUGAACGCGGCCCGCUGAGGGGAUGGAAAGAGCGUGAGCAGUGAGGGCCCUACACGGGAGGGAGCACAGCCCCAAGGAGAAGAGAUGACUGAAUACAACUCAAUGCCAGGCGUUAGGGAGCUCUGAGAGGAGAGGCGUGAGCCGUAGGGGAGAGGCUGGGCACUCUGCUGGGCCGACUAGGGGAAGGGCAGCCAUGCGUCCCGUCCCGUCCCGUCCCGUCCCGACCCGAGAGGUCGCAAGGGAGAAGCUUGAACGUGAGAGGCUACUGCAGCGGGAGCGUCACCUCCCCGAGACAGACAGGCUUCGGAGGGCCCCGCAGGAGAGGAUGGAGAGUGGAGUGGGUGGAAGGAAGACAGGCUGGACGCCAACAGGAGGGUUUUGCGAAAAUGAGAGGCAGGUGGCAGAUGUGGAUGUCCACAUCCAGAGAGGUGGCGGAGCUCUAGGUACGAAGGGAACCAUCUUCUUUAACGGAGCUUGAGGAGUCGUUACCCACGCAGGGCUGGGGGUGAGGAAGACGAGAGAAUGGCCCCCGAGAGGACCAAGGAGAGUAGCUGCAGGAAAGACGCAAGGGGAAGGUCUGGUUGGCAGGAAACGAGGAGAGACGAGAGGACCAGAGGGCCGGUGCUCUGCAGGGGGACCGUGUCGCGGGUCUGACCUGAGGAGGGGCAACCUAGGGAGAGGGCCAGCGGCAAGGGCCGGGAAGGGGCAGAUUGGGACCAAGGAAAGAUACUGUCACAGUGCCUGAGAGUCCUAGAGGCUCGGGGGCUAGAGCGGUGUUGAUGGGGGGGGCGGGGCGGGGCGUGACAAGAAGAGAGCUCUACCGGAGACUGGGGUUCGGGCGUGUCGGGUGUCGGUGAGCGUUCAGGCGAGGGCCUGCGCUGGUGCCAAGAGGACAGCGCCGGGCUGAUGGCAGCGUGGGGGCAAUGCUGGGGUCUUUGAGGCACAAGCAAGCGCCAGUGGCAACCGACGGAAGGCUAGAGGCGCCCACGGGGAGAGUGCAGCCCAGGGAGGCAGGUGGGGCUUCCACAACAGUGAUUCUUCUCGGGGGUGGGGGGGGUGGAUUUCACCCGAGGCGGGGGGGGGCUGCGGGCAUGGACCCCAAGGGAGGCCUAUCAGAACAUCUGAGGGGGAGCAGUGCUCUGCUCGAAGAAAAACAAAACCAAAAGCAAAGGAAAAAGAAAACACAAAAACACGCCCGAAAGAUGCUGCUGAUAGGCUGCCUUGGGGGCCAUGCGUCCUCGGGUGAGAAUCACUGGGUGGAAGGGGCAGAGAGUGGAGAGCUGGGCAGAGAGGUGGAGCACGAGCCUGAGCACAUGGGCCCCUGAGUCGGGGUGGACGGAGGCCUCAGAGUCAGGAACGUCAGCCGUGGGUGCGGGUCGAGGACCCAGGACGAGGCAGACAGCGAGCAAAUGGAUGUAGCCGACUAGGCCCCUGGAAGGAUGGGGGUGGUUGGGAUUCACUGGCGGUGGGUAGGGAGCGCAGGGCCAAGGUGACGGUGCCGGAAGCGAGGACGCAUGCGACAGGAGGGUGAGAGAGACGGGAGUGCUGGCCGAAAGGAAGCUGGCUUGUGGGGAUGUGAGCAGAGCGCACCGGGUGGGAGGUCCACAGGAAAGGAAGGGGCAGGCGGUAGGGGAGACAGCAGACAGCAACUAAGGGGGACAUGUGGGAGAGCGAAGCCUGCUAGGGAGGGAGGAAGGAAGGAGGCAAGGACGGACGGACGACGGCAGAACCCAGGGCACUGUGCAGCUGGAGACUGAGCGCAGUGGUGUGAGGUUGGGGUUCACAGGCGUGAGGGCAGAGGGAGGGCAGAAAGAAGGCAGGAGCGCUGCGGAGAAGGGAAAACGGAGAGUCACGGGAAGGGGCUCCCCGAGAGGUGUGCCAGAAGAGUGUGCAACCAGGGGUCUGAAGGGAAAGGUGAAAGGUUACAGGCGGGGCCGUUCGCGCGGGUCCAGGAGGACAGCCCAGCCUGGGUCCGCAGAGACGUGCGCACGGCUUGGUGGGUGGAGCGUGCUCAUUCAGUACGUUGUGUGCGAGGCGAAGACGACCGGCCGAAGUGGGUUGAGCCGGGGGCGAGGGACUAAGCAUGGAGCACACAGCAGCGCCAAGUCCUGAGGCCCGCUGGAAGAGUCACAGAGGGUAGCUGAAAGAACGUUCGCGGGCUCCGGUAGGACAGUCCCGUCCCGUUGCUGUGUAGGCAGGUGAGGAGCAGAGAGGAGAGGCAAGGAAAUGGGGCCCUGGAGGCAGGAGGUGAGGGGAGCAGCGUGCAAGACGCGGGAGAGUAGGGUCGAGGAGAGGCGGUCCAGCCGGCCGGAAGCGGGGAGAGGGGCAGGCCGUGGCGCCUGACCGCUGGGGACAGGAGAGGCUUGCACAGAGGACCAGGGACGUGCCGGGCCACGAGGGCCGGCGGAGGGCCCGAAGGAAGGGCUGGACGUGGAGAAUCAAGGAAGUGUGUUCCCGUGAGUGGACCAGGGCCCCGAGGAAGCGCACCCGGGAGCAGAGCACAGCGUGGGCGAGGAAUCAAGGAACGCAGGAGAGGCGGGAGGGAGGAGAACGGAGGAGGAGGAUGAGGCGGUGGUGGUAGUGGCCUGGAAGGUGCUGGAGACAGCCCUGUCAGUGUGGGGCACGGGGAGACGGGAAAGGUCAGAGAGACGCCCAGAGGAGGAGAGUGACCGUCUCAAAAACGGUGGCAGCUAAAAACGGUAGGGGCCUUGGGAGCGAACUGGGAGAGCAGAUGGAUUCGGCACAGCACGUUGGCGAUGAAGAGGGCAAGGCGGGGAGGGGAGCAUGAGGGCAGGGCAUCCAGGGCACAAGUUGCUGGGGGAAGACGGUGGCUGCCUCACGGGCCCGACAGCUACGAGGGCGAGUAGGACGGUGGCUGAAGAUGACGCGAGGGUCUCUCAGAGACGACAGUGGGAGAAAAAGAGGAGGAUGGGCCAAGAAGGGUUGAAAUCCGCACAGCAGGGACGUGCGCAGAGGGCGAUAGUGGAGUCUCGGGCAGCCGUGAGCAGGUAGGAAGCAAGGCGGAGGUGAGAGUUCGCAAAGAUCGCCAAAUGCCUGCUUCUGCUAUUUCAGGGGACCCGGAGAGGAAUGGAGGUAGUCUAGCACGUGGCGGGAGGAGCCCGCAGAGGCAAGCACGGAUAGACGGGGACCUUCAAACCAGCGCGGGGUCACAGGUCGGGUCGCAGAAGAUGACGUUGUCAGCCAAGGGGCGCGGAGGGAGAGAGCGAGGGGUGGGACAGUGGGGGCUGGGAGGUGGGGGCUCUUGCCCUGCGGGCUGGAGCCAAGGGACAACAGAGAGAGGGCAAGGCAGAAAGGGCUGGAGACCGAGAGGAGCGUCUCAAAGUCUGCAUGUGGGUGUUGUGAGGGGACCGUGCCCAAGAGGGCAAGAGGGCAGAGCGGGGUGGAUCCCGACCUGGCCCACUGGGAGCAGGAGAGCAAGGGCGAUGGGCAGGGGCGCAGCAUGGGUCCCGAAGAAGGAGAGAAGGAAGGCGUGGGGGCAAAGGAAGGAAGCGGAGGAGCGG
ensembl:lncRNA